CCUUCGGGUUGUAAAGCACUUUUGUUCGGAACGAAACGGUUGAUGCGAAUAACAUCAGCUAAUGACGGUACCGGAAGAAUAAGCACCGGCUAACUACGUGC
rnacentral:rRNA from 1 species